rnacentral:rRNA from 1 species
GAUGAACGCUGGCGGCGUGCUUAACACAUGCAAGUCGAACGAAGCACUUUAACCUGAUUCUUCGGAUGAAGGUUUUUGUGACUGAGUGGCGGACGGGUGAGUAACGCGUGGGUAACCUGCCUCAUACAGGGGGAUAACAGUUAGAAAUGACUGCUAAUACCGCAUAAGACCACAGAGCCGCAUGGCUCGGUGGGAAAAACUCCGGUGGUAUGAGAUGGACCCGCGUCUGAUUAGGUAGUUGGUGGGGUAACGGCCUACCAAGCCAACGAUCAGUAGCCGACCGGAGAGGGUGACCGGCCACAUUGGGACUGAGACACGGCCCAAACUCCUACGGGAGGCAGCAGUGGGGAAUAUUGCACAAUGGGGGAAACCCUGAUGCAGCGACGCCGCGUGAGCGAAGAAGUAUUUCGGUAUGUAAAGCUCUAUCAGCAGGGAAGAAAAUGACGGUACCUGACUAAGAAGCACCGGCUAAAUACGUG